GAUAAAUUAUCGAAAAUAUUAUUGUUUUAAAAUAUAUUCUAACAGCAUAUUUUGGCCACUUUUGUAUACUUUAGAAUAUAUAAAAUAUGCAAUUUUUAUAAUAUAAUAUAAUAUAAUAUAAUAUAAUAUAAUAUAAUAUAAUAUAAUAUAAUAUAAUAUAAUAUAAUAUAAUAUAAUAUAAUAUAAUAUAAUAGCAACAAAUUUAUUCUUUGGGAUAAACCCCUUAAGAUGCAUCAUAUCGUUUUUCACGGGGGUCAUAUUAUAUACUAUAUUUUAUGUUUAUUUUUUGCCAUAUCGGAAUAGGUGAAAAAAAAAAUCCACAAAUAGCAACCACCUAGAACACCCUAGAAUCCAAACAACCACUCAGCACACCCUAGCAACCACAUAGCAACACUCUAGCAACCACUCAGAGCACCUUAGCAACCGCAGAGCAAGCACCUACAACACUGUAUCACUGCACGAGCAAACGCCACUCAUAUUUCUAGCAGAAAAUGUUACAAUCGAGUUCUAUUUAAAUCCUCAAAUUUACUCAGUGAAUGGAUUUACUUCUCAAAGUGGCAUAACUUCCAGAUCUUCAUGCAGGUAUAUAAACGAGCGAGUGGGGGAGAGACGCGUGAAUAUUUUACAGUGAGCCGUCACUUCCAGUGGUCCUCAGUGGAGUGGGUGGUUCAGCGUGGCACGCAGUUAAUUGUGGAGGUGUUUUAUCCAUCAGUGUGAAUUAUUCAAGGGGAUCGUUAAUAGCUAUCCCAGAUCCAGGAGGCUUCAGGAAGGAAGACAAAGCCCGCAGCAGAGAGCCAUCAUUACCUCGCCUCUGAUCAGAGGCUGCCUCAGCCUUCCUCCGUCUCCUGGGCCUCCCGCGUCGCCGCCGAAACCAGGAAACUAACAAACUGCCAACCAGGAAGUCGUAAAUCCAGACUGAAGGUCUUUGAAUGCUUUAUUGCUGGACCGUCUGCCAGACAGUUCUCACGGCAAAGGAAUGCCACAGUCUACAGAAUAAAGACAGACACGCUGCUCUUUCUGACAUACAGUACAGCGUCUCUCAUGUCUUUGACAUCUACAGUAUCAGUCCAGAACUCUGAAUCCAGCGCUAGCAUGUCUGCUCUGCAGUUGCAUGAAGGGAGAAUGACAGACAACUGAUCUUUAGCUGCACAAAAAGGCAAGACAUUCGGCAGAGUCUACAGAGUUUACAGUAAACCACAGAAUAAUGGCCUUGCUUUGCACACCUAAACAUCCAAACACAAAUCUCUGCAUCAUGGUGGAAUGGUAUCACUGCAAGAAAUAUAUAUACUAGUCAACAUUUGAAGUGGAUCAAAACCUUUCAUCAGAGCUGUCCUAAAACCUAAAACCAAAAUGUGUUCCUGUCUUAGAAGAACUUUUUUGAUCCACUUCAAUAUUGACUACUAUUUAUAUAUUUUGUACUGGAUAUAUAUUCAAAAUAUUUGCCUUGUUUCCACUAAAAAUUACCUUAAAAUAAUUCAAAUCACAAUAAAACAAGAUUUUAUUUUUUACUUAAUUUAAAU
ensembl:lncRNA